UACGUAGGGGGCUAGCGUUGCUCGGAAUCACUGGGCGUAAAGCGCACGUAGGCGGAUUGUUAAGUCAGGGGUGAAAUCCUGGAGCUCAACUCCAGAACUGCCUUUGAUACUGGCGAUCUCGAGUCCGGGAGAGGUGAGUGGAACUCCGAGUGUAGAGGUGAAAUUCGUAGAUAUUCGGAAGAACACCAGUGGCGAAGGCGGCUCACUGGCCCGGUACUGACGCUGAUGCGCGAAAGCUAGGGGAGCAAACAGG
rnacentral:rRNA from 1 species